rnacentral:lncRNA from 1 species
GGGUCUCUUACUCAUUCAGAUUAUUUAUUAAGAGCAAAAGUCGGGCCAUCCCAUCGUGUGAUAUUGCAACAUGAAAAGUCACAUACAUACUAAGGAGACCCCACAGAAUUGAGAGCCUUUCAACAGUACAGAGCCAUAGAUUACGAAGUUAAAAUACAAAUGAUCCCCCAGAUUUGGCAGGAAACAAUCUAUAAUACAAUGAAAGGAAUAAAAAGGCACCCCUAGAGCACCAUGCUUCCCAAGGCAUGAUCUUGAGCUCAUCUGCCCUUCGGUUCGACUGCCCAGCUCAGUAACAGGGACCAGGAGCCAGGGCCAGCUGAAUUACACAACCUCAAAGGAUCGCCUGGAAGGCAGAUAUCUGACCAAGAGAUCACAGACCAAGCACAUUUCAUGAGAAUUUAAAUGCUAGGACAAUACUACCUCUCCCAAUAGGGCUUUUGAACCCUGGUUUUAAAUAACAGGCUAGAUCUGUUUUCCCUUACCACUCAUUUUGCAAAACUCAACUGGCCUAAACAUUUCGCUCAAUCUUGAGUUCUGCAGGUUGGUCCCUGAGAGCUAGGUUGGCCUUGGGAAUUUCUGCUCAAUUUUAAGUUCUCAAGAAUCUGAGGGCAGCCGAUUUAGACUGAAUUAGAGUCAUCCUAUAGGUCAGAAAGAAAGAAUGCUAGACAGGUCAAGAGGGCCAGAGGUUGGUUCUGAUAAUGCCAUAUGACCUCAGGCACAUCUUUUUGAGUUUUAGUUUCCCCAUCUCUAAAAACGGAUGAUUGGACAACAGCAAGCUUAACAGACUUUCCACCUUGAAAAUACGGCACUUCUCUGACGCUUAGACCUUAAGUCCUGAAGCGUUGUUUUCUCAGCAAAAACAGUGCAAAGUCCUUACAGGAAUCUAAGGUACAAGCCCUGGGCAACCAUGAAAACUUUAAACUUCAUGCAAAGCAACGAAGUUAUAAAUCCUCCAGCUGAACAAUUUCCUGAUGAUGUGAGCAUCCGUUUUUGUGGGGCAAGCACAGAACUGAGUCCUCAUCUGUCUGAGGUUUAGCAGGCUGCUAACAUCUUCUCAUCCCCCUCUCCUCUCCCCAAGCUUUGGCAGAAACAAGCCAGCCAGUAGGGUUUUCUCAACAUUCUCCAACAAGGAACUGAGUGGACUAAUACUCAGGGGUAAGGACAGUGUACCAAAGUGUCCAUGUCCUAGCAUUGUUUCUUUCCAAAAGGCAAACGCUAUGCUUUGGGACAGUGCCAGCAAUUAGGUGCUUUGCCAAAAAUAACUUGUCCCAUGUGGCCCCCAUGGGGCAGAGACUAAGAUGGAAAUUACAGAGAACAUAGAAAAGCCAGAGGUUUACAAAGAACAGGCUUCUCCACGAGGUAGUGGGUUCUCUGUCCUCGGAGGUGUUUAAGUCCAGACUGCUCAACCCCUUGGUGGGAUGGUUGUAGGCAGAAUGUCAGCACCUAUGUGGAGACUAGACUGGAUGACUUAACAGCCCUUUCCCAACUUUGAGAUCCUGUCAUUGUAAUGACUGAGAGCGCCUUUGGAUGACUUCCAUGAAGCAACUGCUCUGGGCAACAGCCUCCCUCAAUAGGCAAGGCCCCCAGAGUAAGCUCCUUCUUCCAUCCUCUCCCUCCCAACAGGCAGUUGCCCUGCAGGAUAUUAACAAAAAGCUUCCCACAAAAUAAAAAGCCUAAACACCAAAAUUAGAUGCAACACUGCAGCUGCAAACAAUUGUUACUAUCUGUUCUCUGAAAGGCUAGCAGUGACUAUUUAGCUAUGACAGGAACAUCUAAAAACUUGGCAGCUGUAACAUGUAAGUAAAAUUCCUCUUCAUUUUACAACACCGGUCUUGAAUCCUUUGGUUUUUAAUCUUUCAUGAGAUUCAGCUGUGAUCUUUUUUUUUAUAUGCUGUUGCCAACCUAAGAGUUUGUUCCUUGAAGCAAGAAGUUUGUCCAUUGGUUUUUAAAACAUCUUAAAACAACAUGAAUGGCAGGAUACUGAUGUUUCCAUGUGAGAACCUUCAGGGCAUAUCAAAGAACCAUACCAGGCUGGAACUGAGCCACCAGAAACUGCAGAAGAGGCUAAGGCGAGUGGUUUAGUGGUUUGAUGAAAGAACAGAUUUCUGGACAUAAGAAAAACAUAGGUUCAAAUAGCUUUGUCUUUUCUCUCACCUGACCUGUUGAAAGGUCAGAUUGAAAAGGUUGAAAAGAUGCCCACAACCUCCACUUUCCACAAGCACCUCUCCUUAGAGGAAAGACAAGGGACCCAAGUACACACACAGCAUCUGGCUGAAGGUAAAACAUUUCCCCAGGUUUCGCUUUGGAAUAAAGAUUCUUUCAGACACAAUUGAACAGAUGGAUCCUACCAUCAUAUAUUCUUGUGCAGAAGCUAUUGUCUCUCUCAACUGGGAAAACAGAUUUGCUGCUAAAGAAAUAGUGAUGUGACCUACACGCCCACAAUUCUGGUUUACGUAUCAGAAAAAUACACUUUUUUACUCAUUAAGAUAUGGACAUUUCCAUGGAGCAAGUUAACAAUGCCUUAACCUGCAGGCCCCAUCUGCCCCUCAGCCUUCUUGAUGCCUGUAUCAACAUCCUUCAGCUGUAAGCAGGGAGAGAAUCUCUAAACACAUAGUGAAUGUGAAUGACUGAAAACACUCACAGAGCACUGGACAUGCCAUCCACAGCCAGGAGGCAUACCAAAAUAGGAUGCCCUCACAGUCCAGAGUAUAUUCUAUAUACAACCAUUUAUAUAUAUUUAAUUUAAAAGGCUGCAAUCUGCUAGACAUGCAUUUUGAACACAGGCGAAAGCUUUGCUGCAAUGGAACAUACUGCAUUUUAGUGAGCGUGGUGACCCUGUCCCCAUUCCACAGAAAGCGUGGUACUCUGCUCCACAGAACUGAGACCUUUGGACACUCCGCCGCCCUGCUCAGUAGGGGGUUUAGUCCUGACUUCUCUGUGAUGGUGCUCAGAUUAAGUCAUCUGUGAAACUCUCUGCCAGGCCAGGCUGUCCAUUGUUCUUAUUAUUUAAGGCUUAAGAAAUUAACUCAGAAUUGAAACUGAGUAGGAAAAUGACACCUUUGACCAUAUGUCAAGAUGGUCAUAAAUUAGAAUCCAAAUUCUUUUCUUUUCUUUCUCCCACCCUCCUACCCCAUACCCUCUGCCCUCCAUUACACAGAUUAAAGAAUUUUGCAAAAGCACAUUUUUGGAUAUAAAGCUUUGUUUUCACAGGAUACUUUGGCUCUGAUAUAAUUAGAUUGAGGAGUUCAACGUUUUGAACAACAAAAAAAUUAGGUAAUUUUCAAAAAUUAUUUUAGCAAUCUUUCUCCCUAAGAGGGAGGCAAAUUGUUCACAAAAAUGAGCAUCAGAUGGAAUUGACCUUUGUUGCCCAAACUCAUGAUUUGCUGAUGACCAGAGCCCAGGGAGUCAAGGCCAGCCAGACUUUCAAUCCUAAGCUGAACUUCUGGGCAGGAAUCACAUGGCCCCUGGCAGCUUGCAUGGUGGUUGUGAACUUAGGAUGAAAACUUCUAAAAAUACUUGCCCCAACCUACUAAAUAUGUCAGUGUGUCAAUGCAUUUAUUACCAAGAAGCUUGGCUGAAGUCAUAAUAUCUAACUGCACCCCAAAGAGUGAAGCAUAGUGGGGUGCAUAAGGGACCGUAUCUUCUGUGAGGGUCUCUAUAUCAGUGUUUCUGGAACCUCAACGAAUAGUUUUGCACAUGCAACUGUCCUGAAAUCCUUAUCUGAUCAGAAACUUCCUUGUUGGUGCAUCAGGAUUUCCUCCACAUUCUAGCAGUUAAGUGGUGAGCAACAGAAAUGGCAGAGGUCUCAGUCAUGAGAGGUGUGAAGCGGAUGUUACAAGGCUGGCACUAUUAGUGACAGCUCAAUUAGCCAAUACCUACUGAUUGAGUGCCUACUGUGUACAAGGCACAGGGUGAGUGAGGGGGACCAGUGUCAAACUGAUCUGCUGAUAAAUGACAAAGCUUGCAACAAAGCGGGCGGGAUAUCUAUGUCGCCAGCGGGCAGCAUGCAAGUCCAGAUGUGGGUCUGCUCAUGCACUUCCAUGGCCAAUUGCACCUUGCUGCUAUUCCAAGCUACAGCUCACACGUGGCAGCCUGGUGGAUAAGGUGAUUACCAAAAUAUUUCUUAUCCCACAUUUCCAGUAGAAUUGAUUUAAUGCUUUGUUGAAUGCUGAAAUACAUAGUUUUUAAUU